CUUAAAGCCUUCAUUAACAAACACUCGUAUAAGCUGGCUAAUAGGUUUGUGUAUUGAAGAUUUAAGUAUUUAAUGUUUGCCCAUGCAUAUCAUCACUGUGGCUAUAUCUCUGUAGACAUUUCAUUGAACAAAGUACAGAUAUGCUCAUGAAUGUUCAGCUACUACUCAGGUGCGUCAGAUCGGAGAUAUAUCAUGCUAUGAGUAAAGAUAUAUUCACAUGAUCAUGAUCCCAUCAUAGCACAAUCUUGCUUGACAGAUCAAAGUUCAGUUCAGAGAAUGCAUCAGAUAUUCAGAUUGGAUAGCACGGUCCUGAAACAGAAUAGCACACAAACAAGCAGAUUUCAGUACAGAAGCAGGAUAAAAUUGGGGUGGCCCAGGCGCCCAGCGGAGGCCAUUCGAAGCCGGCGCCGAUGAAGUCGCUGGAGAGCAGCGACCUUUUCGUUGUCCAUUGCACCUCCGGCCCGAAGGCUCCUUCCUCUCCUCCCCGCCGGCCUCUCCUCUAAUGCCUCAAUGGCGACCAAGCGCCCCAGAUUCCGGCGGGAUUGGGACUGCGGAGCCAUCUCGCUGGGCCGGGGGCGCCGAUGGCGGGUCUGGCGGCAAGGGUUCGGAGGUGGCGAUUGGGGACGAUUUGGGCAUGAAAUUGGGGGCUUUUUGCUUCAGUUUUAUGUGCGUGGAGUCGAUUUGAGCGAAGGCGAUAAGCGCGUGAGGAAGGUGUGGUGGAGCACGGGAUCGCGAGGAGGAAGAAGCGCCUGUUCGUCGCUCGCAGCGGGUAAAAGCGAGCGUUAUCUUCUCGUAUCUUACGCUUCAGCCGGGCGACUCCUCAGGCUG
rnacentral:lncRNA from 1 species